UACGGAGGGUGCAAGCGUUAUCCGGAUUUAUUGGGUUUAAAGGGUGCGCAGGCGGGGCCUUAAGUCAGUGGUGAAAUCUCUUCGCUUAACGAAGAAACUGCCAUUGAUACUGAGGUUCUUGAAUCUAGUUGACGUUAGUGGAAUGUGUCAUGUAGCGGUGAAAUGCUUAGAUAUGACACAGAACACCGAUCGCGAAGGCAGCUAACGAAGCUAGUAUUGACGCUCAGGCACGACAGCAUGGGGAGCAAACAGG
rnacentral:rRNA from 2 species